GGGCCGGCCCGCAGCCCCGCAGCCCUGCCCGCGCGGCCACGGCGAGGUCCUCCUGAGAGCGGGUCCGCGGCGGGCCGCAGCCCAGAAGGGGAAGGAAAGGGACGCUAUGUCGCAUCGCCACUUGAUUAUCCGAGUACACCCCAACACACGCGCGCGCACACACACACACGCCCCACGCGCUCACAGUCUCCUGCCCAGAAACGCCUGAAACCCUAGCUCCUUUGUGGUCACUGUGAAUGAAGCACGCGCGUUUCUGUCGCUUCACCUGGUAACUGGCUGGGGAGGUGUACCUGACUUAGCUGGAGACUUUGAUUUGUGGGACUGACAACCUUAUUAUGCAGGGAGCUUAUUAUUGAUAUUAUUCUGCUCUCGGUUGCCAUGACCACCUUCUGAGAGACAUCCAAUUUUCUCUCUUCCAUCAUCAUUAUCUAUGAGGCCAUCUGUUGUGGAAAAUGAAUUCAGGCUCAUUUGCAUGACUGAUAAGCAAUUUUUUUUUAUCUAUUUAACAGAAGGUCAUAUGCCGGGGAUUUGGAGCUCGUGAAAAAAAUGUGGAAAAAAAAAGCAUGUCGAGAGGAUGAGUGGGAGUGUGCGCCGGGGUGUGUGUGGAAGGGAAGCGGGUCCCUCAGGCCCGCGAGCCUGGCGUGCUGCGUCUGUCAUUCCCGCCCGGGCGACAUUUUUGUUCCCUAAGCUGCUGCACACUCAACAGGAAGGGAGCUUUCCUCGCAGCCUUCUUCAAGCCCCCCUGGUUUUUGUACUCGUUGUUGAGAAGCUCACGUUGGGGCCGAGGUGCACACAGCUGCCGCCCGGGCGUCCGUCUGACCCGCGUGGACGUCUGCAGAGUCCGCGAGCGCGACCGACUGCACCUCGUGGAGGAGGAAAAAAUGUAGUUAUCGGGUCCAGUCAAGAGUCUGUGUCUCUGGCAUUGUCCACAACAGCCCGUCGGGAAAGGGUCCAGGUGGUCCACAGACGCAUGGCGAUCCAAGGGCCACGUAAAGAUGGAGGUGGACACCGAGGAGAAGCGGCAUCGCACGCGGUCCAAAGGGGUCCGAGUUCCCGUGGAGCCCGCCAUCCAGGAGCUGUUCAGGUCAGUGGUCCGCACGUGUGCCCAGCGGGGGUUCAGAGAAUGCACCCCUUGAUUGAGAGCGGGCAUCCGCGCUCCCCGGGCCCGGGGCUGCCCCCGCCCCCGCCCCCGUGGCCGGCCUUCCC
rnacentral:lncRNA from 1 species